rnacentral:tRNA from 1 species
GUAGCUCAGCUGGUUAGAGCGCAGUCCUGAUAAGACUGAGGUCCCUGGUUCGAGUCCAGGC